UCUUGUAGCUUAUUGGAAGAGCACCGUACUGGUAUUGACCAGUACUGGAGGUCAGGGUUCGAUUCCCUGCAUAGGAG
rnacentral:tRNA from 1 species